rnacentral:snRNA from 1 species
GUAUUGUAUGUCAGUAUAUGAACAAACAUUGGAAAGGUGCUGAGAAUACUAGUGUGGCCACUGCUUAAUGAAGAAACGCAGAGUCUUAAGAUGCUAAUCAUUGUU